rnacentral:rRNA from 1 species
UACGUAGGGUGCAAGCGUUAUCGGAAUUACUGGGCGUAAAGCGUGCGCAGGCGGUUUUGAUAAGUCUGACGUGAAAUCCCCGGGCUUAACCUGGGAACUGCAUUGGUGACUGCAUUGCUGGAGUAUGGCAGACGGGGGUGGAAUUCCACGUGUAGCAGUGAAUGCGUAGAGAUGUGGAGACACCGAUGGCGAGGCAGCCCCUGGGUCAAGAUUGACGCUCAUGCACGAAGACGUGGGAGCAACAGG